CCAGUAGUCAUAUGCUUGUCUCAAAGAUUAAGCCAUGCAUGUCUCAGUACAAGCCAAAUUAAGGUGAAACCGCGAAAGGCUCAUUAAAUCAGUUAUGGUUCCUUAGAUCGUACCCACAUUUACUUGGAUAACUGUGGUAAUUCUAGAGCUAAUACAUGCAAACAGAGCUCCGACCGGAGACGGAAGGAGCGCUUUUAUUAGAUCAAAACCAAUCGGUGGCGGGUCUCCCGUCACCGUACACGUUGGUGACUCUGAAUAACUUAUUGCUGAUCGCACGGUCUCGCACCGGCGACGCAUCUUUCAAAUGUCUGCCUUAUCAACUGUCGAUGGUAGGUUCUGCGCCUACCAUGGUUGUAACGGGUAACGGGGAAUCAGGGUUCGAUUCCGGAGAGGGAGCCUGAGAAACGGCUACCACAUCCAAGGAAGGCAGCAGGCGCGCAAAUUACCCACUCCCGGCACGGGGAGGUAGUGACGAAAAAUAACGAUACGGGACUCAUCCGAGGCCCCGUAAUCGGAAUGAGUACACUCUAAAUCCUUUAACGAGGAUCAAUUGGAGGGCAAGUCUGGUGCCAGCAGCCGCGGUAAUUCCAGCUCCAAUAGCGUAUAUUAAAGUUGUUGCGGUUAAAAAGCUCGUAGUCGAAUUUGUGUCCCGCGCCGCUGGUUCAUCGCUCGCGGUGUCAACUGGCGUGUCCGCGGGACGUCCUGCCGGUGGGCUUAGCCCCCCGUGGGCGGCCCAAUCUCAAUCCCACCGCGGUGCUCUUCAUUGAGUGUCGAGGUGGGCCGGCACGUUUACUUUGAACAAAUUAGAGUGCUUAAAGCAGGCUAAAACAUCGCCUGAAUACUGUGUGCAUGGAAUAAUGGAAUAGGACCUCGGUUCUAUUUUGUUGGUUUUCGGAACCCCGAGGUAAUGAUUAAUAGGAACGGAUGGGGGCAUUCGUAUUGCGACGUUAGA
rnacentral:rRNA from 1 species